AUACGGAGGAUCCGAGCGUUAUCCGGAUUUAUUGGGUUUAAAGGGAGCGUAGGCGGUUGUUUAAGUCAGCUGUGAAAGUUUUAGGCUCAACCUGGAAAGUGCAGUUGAUACUGGCAGUCUUGAGUUUAUUAGAUGUGGGCGGAAUGCGUGGUGUAGCGGUGAAAUGCUUAGAUAUCUCGCAGAACUUCAAUUGCGAAGGCAGCUCACAAGACUGUAACUGACGCUGAUGCUCGAAAGUGUGGGUAUCAAACAGGAUUAGAUACCCUGGUAGUCCACACUGUAAACGAUGAAUACUCGCUGUUUGCGAUAUACAGUAAGCGGCCAAGCGAAAGCGUUAAGUAUUCCACCUGGGGAGUACGCCGGCAACGGUGA
rnacentral:rRNA from 1 species